GGGUGAGCCACUCACUCAACUCGUAACAUUUUUUUUUAGCGAGCUGGUAUAGAGUGGCACAGCCCUUCACGUCUUCUUCGGAUUUGGGCUUAAAAGGAACAAAAGCGGUUUUAUGUUCAUCUCCGCUGCCUCUCAGAAAGCUUUCUAAAGCUGGGCGGCUGGGGUCGUCAGUCGGGUAGAUGUACUCCUUACCCGUACCGGAGGUAAAAUUAUUACGGUGCAGAAAACCACUAGGCUUGUGGGACUUGUUCUGGACAUAAAAUUUUAUAUUGUUAAUAUAGAUUAGUUGUUAAUCUCUCUGCACAACGUUUUAAACGGUAUCUGACAAUCAGAAUUAAAAUAAUAAAAAAGGGUUGAAGAAAUAGAACUUUUAAAUGAGCUUAUACAGGAGCUUGAUCAGAUAAAGUUAGUGGGAAUAUGAUUAAAAUAUUUGCUUCAAUCGGGAACCGUUGAACCAAAUACCUGGCGAAGACGUCAAGGGCGAUGGUUCGAAAAGUUAGCUCUCUCGAAACAUUUGGUCUUCAAAGCAUACACGUGGGAUACUAUUUUUAUAAGGAUCGAGAAGUUGCUACUGCAUUAUGCUGAAUCGACCCCCCAACAAUUUGUUUUCAUGUUGGCCAAUCUAGCUCUGCUGGCCUUGGUAUAAGGGACCACAUAGCUAAAACCCCUACACGGCAGGGUGGUAGGUGGAGUAGAAAUUUUAAUCUGCGGUCUGUGGAGACCCAGUAUCACACGGGCGGCACGGAUCCGAGCACUGAUUGCAUGUGGCGCGCGCAAAGCGAGCUGAGUAAAUACAGCAAGGGCAUGACAAUAUAAGAGACAAGGCUGUCAAUUCGUCAGGGCGUCUCCCGGUGCAGGUGUGGUCCUCCACCCGGUGUGCACCGACACUCUCAGACCGCGUCCCAGACGACUGCCAGCAGCCACGUCAGGUCAUCCGGGUAGACCAGAUGAAGGUGUGCGAGAGGACUCGCAACGGUGGUGGCACAGGAAGGCUGCUGUCCACCCGAUGACCUGCCGGAAGAGAAUGGGAAGCUUUUGUCCAUUUCUAUGGAGCCACGCGCGGUGUCGCCGUUAUGUGAUCGCCAGAGACAGGCAUGCCAUCCCUGCUUCAGUGAACCGGAGAUGUGACCGGGCGGUCGCAGAGACCCCUGGAAGACCGGCGGAGUGGAAGGCAAACACGCCGACGACACCGCACCUCGCUAGACAUCUUUUAAAAAAAGAUAUGGAGGAAAACCUUCUCCCUCGAGCUCAACAACCCACAACGAAUGGAAAGACAAGAAGGCUCACUGCCCAAGUUUUCCCGUUCUCGCCUUCUGUUUCCCGUCGGAGACAGAAUGAGAUAAUGGCGUUCAGCGACAUCACAAAGGCAGUCUGGAGUUGUGGAAUCUGAGACAGAAAGCCUCGAGAGGACCUGUCGGAUCCACUCCACCUGGAACCAGACCUGCUGUGCCGUGCUGUGCCGCUGCUGGACGUGAAGACUUGCGCGUAUGUAUGGUCGGGGGACCACCGCAGCGUUACGUCAAAGGCUGUUGCAGACAGGCCACAGUUGGUAGGCGCGCGUGCGCAUGCUGGCUCCGGGGAUGCUUUGCAGAAAGGCCGGCCACUGUCUCUAGGCAACACCACUCACAUCAACAGAUCUCGGUACCCUGUCCCAACCGCCUUCACACUUCCCUCCCUCCUCCUUUCCCUCUAGCUGCUAAGGGGGUUCAGGCACAAAAAUGUUUCCCAUUCAUCGGCAGUUAGCAAACAGCGCGUAGCAAUUGAUCACUUUCGUACUAAAAUGUGAACAUGUGCAUGCUCACGCACACUGGUAAUACAAACUCGGCGUAAAAGCACACUCUGGGAUAAAUACUCAUACAAGCACACCGUAAUGAAUGCACACGUGCAAAUAAAACGCGGCAGAUCAAAUAAUUCCAACAAUUUGUGAAAUAUGAAAUAUAAAUAUGGCGGACAUUAUUAACACUCUUUGUUCUAUUCUUGUGCCCUACUCUCCUUUUUUAUUUUUUACCUGAUUUUGCCAAUUCCUCCCCCUCCCACCAUCACCCCCCCCACCCCCACACACCUUUUUUUUUCCCUUUUCCUUUUCUUCACGUCUGCUCCUCUGUAGGACUGUUCGUUUAUUUGACUUUAAACUGAAGUUCCUUGAAUA
rnacentral:lncRNA from 1 species